rnacentral:rRNA from 1 species
ACGAACGCUGGCGGCGUGCUUAACACAUGCAAGUCGAGGGGGCCCAGCAAUGGGUCACCGGCGAACGGGUGCGGUAACACGUGAGCUACCUACCGAGUUGUGGGGAAUAGCCGGCCCAACGGCCGGUAAUACCGCAUACGCUCUCUUUGGGGCAUCCUGAGGAGAGGAAACGCUUGCGGCAAUUCGAGGGGCUCGCGGCCUAUCAGCUAGUUGGUGAGGUAAACGGCUCACAAGCGAUGACGGGUAGCUGGUCUGAGAGGAUGGCCAGCCACAUUGGGACUGAGAAACGGCCCAGACUCCUACGGGAGGCAGCAGUGGGGAAUCUUGCGCAAUGGGCGAAAGCCUGACGCAGCGACGCCGCGUGGGGAGGAAGGUCUUCGGAUUGUAAACCCCGGUUUGCCCGGGACGAAUGCCCUCUUUAGAGGGAGUGACGGUACGGGUGAGGAAGCACCGGCUAACUCUGUGCCAGCAGCCGCGGUAAUACAGAGGGUGCGAGCGUUGUCCGGAAUCACUGGGCGUAAAGGGCGCGUAGGUGGCUGCCAAGCGUGUGGCGAAAGCCCGGAGCUCAACUCGGGUCUGCCAUGCGAACUGGCAGGCUUGAGCACGGUAGAGGCCAAUGGAAUUCCGGGUGUAGCGGCGGAAUGCGUAGAGAUCCGGAAGAACACCGGUGGCGAAGGCGGUUGGCUGGCCCGUAGCUGACACUGAGGCGCGACAGCGUGGGGAGCAAACAGGAUUAGAUACCCUGGUAGUCCACGCCGUAAACGAUGGGCACUAGGUUCCUUGGGGGAGCGACCCCGUGAGGGCCGGCGCUAACGCAUUAAGUGGCCCCGCCUGGGGAGUACGGCCGCAAGGCUGAAACUCAAAGGAAUUGACGGGGGCCCGCACAAGCGGUGGAGCAUGUGGUUUAUUCGACGCAACGCGAAGAACCUUACACUGGGCUUGACAUGCUGGGGAAACCCUGGGGAAACCUGGGGCCUCCUUCGGGACUCCAGCACAGGUGCUGCAUGGCUGUCGUCAGCUCGUGUCGUGAGAUGUUGGGUUAAGUCCCGCAACGAGCGCAACCCUUGUCACUAGUUACCAGCGGUUAUGCCGGGCACUCUAGUGAGACUGCCGGUUGCCAAACCGGAGGAAGGUGGGGACGACGUCAAGUCAUCAUGGUCCUUACGUCAGGGCUACACACGUGCUACAAUGGGCGGGACAGCGGGCGGCAAGACCGCAAGGUGGAGCCAAUCCCCAACCCGUCCUCAGUUCGGAUGUCGUCUGCAACUCGACGGCAUGAAGCUGGAAUCGCUAGUAAUCGUGGAUCAGCGAUGCCACGGUGAAUACGUUCCCGGGCCUUGUACACACCGCCCGUCACGCCAUGGAAGCUGUGAGUGCCCGAAGUCCGUGUCGCAACCCGCAAGGGAGCAAGCGGCCGAAGGCAAGCGCAGUGACUGGGGCG